GCAUAUCAAUAAGCGGAGGAAAAGAACCUACCAAGGAUUCCCCUAGUAACGGCGAGUGAAGAGGAAAGAGCCCAAGAUUGAAAGCUGGCGUCUUCGGCGUCCGCAUUGUAAUCUCAAGAAGCAUUUUCCGCUUCGGACCAAGCCUAAGUCCCUUGGAAAAGGGCAUCGUAGAGGGUGAGAAUCCCGUACAUGGCUUGGAGCGCCCGAGGCUUUGUGAUAUGCAUUCUAAGAGUCGAGUUGUUUGGGAAUGCAGCUCAAAAUGGGUGGUAAAUGCCAUCUAAGGCUAAAUAUUGGGGAGAGACCGAUAGCGAACAAGUACCGUGAGGGAAAGAUGAAAAGAACUUUGAAAAGAGAGUUAAACAGUACGUGAAAUUGCCAAAAGGGAAGGGUAGGAGGUCAGAGAUGCGGCGUGGGAUUCAGCCUUGCUUUUGCUUGGUGUUUUUCCCUCAUUGCAGGCCAACGUCGGUUUUGGGCACUGGAGAAUGGUGAGAGGAAUGUGGCACCCUUCGGGGUGUGUUAUAGCCUCUCACUGGAUACAGCGACCGGGACCGAGGAACGCAGCGUACUCGAAAGAGCGGGCCUUCGGGCACCUUUACGCUUAGGGCGUUGGCAUAAUGGCCCUCUACCACCCGUCUUGAAACACG
rnacentral:rRNA from 1 species